GCAACGUCCAUGGCUAGCUGAUGGGGUAGGGGCUUUGUCCAAUUCGUCUGCAUGGUGGUGGGAGAAACGUGGUGGCAGCCAGGGAAGCAGGAUGGUCUCAGAGUCAUGCGCCGCCAGCAGGUCUGGCAAGGUAUCUAAGGCAUAGGCUAGCAGGGAAAUUUCAGUUCUCCACUUACCCUAGGACUUUGGUGGAAAACACAUUGCGGAUUUAUGGCGAUUCCAAAUUUGAAGACCAGUUUCUGCCAGGCUCAGCACAACUCCCCGGACAAGUGACCUUGAGGGCUGGCUCUAUGUGAAAUAUUCAACUGUGCUUUGAAGACUCUGGACACCGAGACUGUCCUCAAAAUUAACUGCAAGUAUACUUCCUUUAAUGACUCUGGUAAAAUCAAGCAUCAAGUAAACAAUGGAGGAAGACAAUCACCACCGUUGUCUCACUCAUGUCUAAAUGUAGGCCUGGCGGGUAAACUCGGUAUGUGCUGGAUGUUUUGAAAUCUGAAGGUACCAGUCUGAGGACGCUAAGGCCCAGGCUGAAUUCGAGCAAAUUCUAAAUAGUUUUCUGCCUAUCUUGGAGGAGCUUCUAACUGAGAAAAUAAGCCAAAUAAAGAAAAUUUAAAAAAAAAUAGACCUUUUGUUGAGCUUAAUGUUCUCACGUUUCCAUCAGGCAGGCACACACACCCUCUCUGGUUUACCAUAAUGAACCAUGUAGCCCCAGUGGAGAUCUGCUACGACAGCAUGCGUUUUCUGAUAACUUACAACCCCAC
rnacentral:lncRNA from 1 species